AUCAAAGUCUUCAGGAAGGUCUUACGACGCCCACGGUCUGCUUGUUUUUCUGAUAGGAUCUACUGUUUUGUCACAGUGAGCCCAAAUGUAAGACCAGCGAAAAGGGGGGAAAUCUCUGUGUCCCGGCUCCGCACGCUUCCGUCAUCAUUGACAACCACCUUGCGUUGCAACCACAGAGCCAGCUCUGGGCCACAGCUGAGACCAGUUCAUUCAUCAGUUGUCUCUGCUGUUAAUACAGCUGAUCCCUGUGUCCCAUACAUUUAUGUUACAACAAUACACACCAACACACACACACCUCCCCACCCACACAGGUAACUUUGUAAUUACAGAUAUACACACACACAAACACACAAGUAACUUUAUGUUAUUAUAGUUACAAAUACACACAGGAAGGUGGGAUACAGGAACAUGCGCGUGACAUCGCGCAUUAAUCUCUCACACACAGGCUAACUGUUCUAACCGUAAGCUAACUGUGCUAAAUGUAGGCUAAAUGUGCUAACUUACAACAACACACACACACUACAUAGGUAACUUUGAUUAUAGCAUAUGGGCGCGCAAGCGCACCCUCCUCUCACACACACACACGUGCACGCGCCACACACAUGUAACUUUUUGUUAUUAGAGCUACAUAAGCACACAGGUGCACGCAAGCGCGGCACACACAAACACACAGGAAACUUUAUGUUGUUACAGAUACACUCAGGAAGAGUCGUAGGAUGUACACUACUCUAACUGUGUGUUACUCUCUCACACACAGGCUAACUGUAAACUAACUGUGCUAACCAUAAGCUAAUUGUGCUAAAUGUAGGCUAACUGUGCUAAUUCCCAUGUUGACAGAGACGCUACCCCCGGCAUUAGCUCCCGUAGCCCCUUCAAAAUUUCCUAGAGGGAAUUUUCUAGUUACUGUUACUAUGCCCACCAUCUUCUGUGUAUGACUGGAAAACAUCCAACCCUAGUAGGAAAGACGGUGAAUUUUUUCAAGAGGAAGGAAAAUGUUCUACAAAUACAGAAAAAAAUUGAUUGUGACGCUGUCUGGGAACGUAAAGUGUGCUUUAAAAGCCAGCUACCUCAUAGCCAGGCACAGAGUUAUACCGCUUUCACAUGGAUCGUGUCGCAUGGUGUUUCCUUGUAGCUGAGGGAGGGAUGUAAAUGCCAACGGAGCGUGUCAACCCAUAAGCCAGAUUUCCAUACACUGCCUACCUCUAAACCACUCCACACCUCACCACCAUUUUGUAACUGCCUUUUCCAUUGCUUAGGAGUGACCCCGCUCCCCCUGGUUUUAUGGACUUUAGCCACACCCAUGAGCCAGGAGCAGCCAUAACAACACUAUAACACGUGGAUGAUCUUGAAGGCAUGCUGUUUGCGAUCCUCCUUUUUUGGUGAUAUUUCAAGCGAAGUGAGCAGCUUACUACUAGUCAAAAACAUCCAGCUCUCUAGUCAAAACAUCCUGCUUUGUACCCGACGCAACAUCAUGAUGAUUUUUGUCUGACCAUUCAGUAGUAAGCAGCGUUCCAAGUCACAGUUUCGGCUCCAAUUCACCUACUUCGGACCCAGUAUAGAGCAGGUACUAAAAAGUACCCUGAAAACUUUGGCCUCAUUCAGCCCACCUUCUAGCAAUGGUAAUAGCAAUUUAAAGUGGGCGUUGCGGAGUGGUUCAGAGUUAGGCCAUGUAUAGAAAUCUGGCUAUAGAGUCUUGAAGCCAUGCACAGACGCACUGUGGUCCCAUGAACCAGGUCUCCAAAGCACCUCCCAUGACACGCUCCCCCUGUUAAACUGUAAAAAAAGACAAAUCAAACCAAGACUCAGAUCAAUUAAAAUGAAAGUGUUAAUGUUUGAAUGGGCCUGGGGCCACUUUGUAUAGGGAAAAUUGGGCCCAGCUGUCAAAAAGAUUAAGAAACCCUGUUGUAAAGGGUGGUGAACAUUAUUCAUAAACCACCGGAGUUUGUUCAAGGUCCUUACCUCUGCCACCGAUGUUAGGAACUCCAGCUCUGCCCCUACUGCAGAGCCUGCCUUCUGUAUCACUUUGUCCCCAGCUGAUGGUUGCAGGAUGCAGGUGAGGCUUGGACCUCCAAAAAUCCACUACCAUUUCUUUGGUUUUAGCUUUGUUGAGCCAAAGGUGGUUUGCACCAUGAAAUUAAGUUGUUCACUGUACUCCUAUUCUUGCUCAUCCCUGAUAUACCCCAUAAUUGCAGUCUUAUCUGAAAGAGUGAAUAAGACAGGGGAGAGCACAUACCCCUGUGGCGGCUAGUGCUGCUAAUGAUAAUCCCAGACGUGCAGUUCCCCAGUCUUACAAACUGAGGUCUCCUAGUGAGAUAGUUCACUAUCCAGGAAAUGAGGUGUGAGUCCCCUCCCAUCUCUAUUUGCUUGUUUCUCAGUAACUGGGGCUGGAUGGUGUUGAAUUCACUGUGCAAUGCACAAGUGAAAAAAACAUGAUCCUCACAGCAGCAUUCCCCCUCUGUGUGAGCGAGUCCAGUGGAGCAGAAAAAGAAUAGCAUCCUCAACUCCCUCAGAUGUGACUUCUUUUUUUGUUGGUUUCAAGUAAUGUUUAAUUUUUUUUUACCAUAGGUUUGUUGCACAUAAAAGUAAACAUAAAACCACAACAAAGAUAAAUAAAAUGAGAUUAAAUUAAAGUAACAUAAAAAUAAGCAGUGUGAUCAAAUAAUGUACAGAAUUAGCAUUAUGAAAAUAUACAAAAGUAGUUGGCAAAAUAGUGUCCAAGGUGAUGUGGAUGUUUGGUCAGUUGUAUAGCAACAGUGGUGUGGAUCGUGUCGUCAGUGGUGUUUCCUUAUCGGCUAAGGGAGGGAUGUAAAUUUCAAAUAUAGUGUGUCUGCCUGUUGAGUCCUGAAGCCAUGCACAGACGCACCGUGGUCCCAUGAACCAGGUCUCCAAAGGACUUCUCACGACACACGAAGUUCUGGGUUUUUGUUAUCUGUAAACCAUAAUCAUCAAAAAUACAAGCUAGUGUAUUUUUAGGGCGUUUAUGAAAGAACACUUUUGUCCUUUAAUGGUAGCAACGUAACCAUUUAGAUUAUACAGUGCAGAAAUAGUGUAGUGUUAUGAGAUCGGAGUUAAUAUCAAAAUAUCAAAAUGUGCUAAAAAGUACACACUUUUGGCAAAUAUGAUAGCAAAACACACAACUCCCUCUAAGUUAUCCAAAAAAAAAAAUGGAAAAGGACUUUUGUCCCUUUGGGGCAUGGUUUCUUUCUAUGUAUGGAUUACAUGGGUUGUUACGACACCUCGUGAAAUUUUCAUGUCAGUAGCACCUUUAGAAAUGUGUUUACUAUGAAAAAUUGUGAUGUGUUCAAUACUUAUUUUACCUGCUGUAUAUUAAGUAAAUUAAAACACAUACAUUACUUAA